AGCUUUGCGCAGUGGCAGUAUCGUAGCCAAUGAAGUUUAUCCGAGGCGCGAUUAUUGCUAAUUGAAAAAGGACCUGACUGUACAAGUGUUCUGACACAUAAAUGCAUUCAAUUGAUUAAUUUUUUAAGGUAACAUUUGCUA